UUAUUACUCCCUCCGCCCGGAAAUACUUGUCAUUGAAAUGGAUGUAUCUAGAUGUAUUUUAGUUCUAAAUACAUCCAUUUUGAUGACAAGUAUUUCCGGACGGAGGGAGUAUUUC
rnacentral:pre_miRNA from 1 species